rnacentral:lncRNA from 1 species
GUUUCAAAUGGUGAAGUUGAAAUCAUCCCUUCUUAAAAUUUACGGAAGUUAUCACAAGUUGGUCGACCUAUAUGGAAUAUCAGUUUCACAGAUGAUAACAGAUAUGUUCCUUAUGUGUCGUAACUACAAUCCUGUUCCCUUUUCACAAAUGUGACCUACCGAAUUAGACUAUUUAGCGGAUUUGUAAUAACAUGACAGGUGCCCUUCCAGAGCACC